AUUAGGUUUAAGGUUAGGGUUAGGGAUAGAGUCUGUUAGGGUUACGUUUAGGAUUAGGAUUAGAAUAUAGUCAUGCAAAUGUAUGACAGGAUGGACAAAUGGAGCUGAACUGAAGGCAAGCCGAAUGAGCCCGGUGAGUCUGUGCCACUGUGGAAGGUGAGACACUCACUGGUAUCCCUCCACCAUUUUGCGAGCGUAGGUGGCGGCCUCAUCGAAGUACUGCAGGUAGGACAGCACCUCACUGAUAGUGCUCCACAGCCGCAGCUGGUAAAUGUGUGUAUCGGCCAGCACUGGGUCUAUCUUCUCCAAACACUCGCGGCAGAUUUUUACCACCUGACCAGCGGACAACAGAGUUCACAGAGUACCAGAGUUGCCAAAGGGACUGAGAUGGACAUAUUCUGUGAUGUCCUUGGAAGUGAGGCAAAACAUCUAGCUGCUUAUGUGCGCCCUACUGUGAAACUGCCAUAAAGUGCAGUGGUACCUCAUGGUAUUUGCCAUCCAAGCGAGCCUUCUCCAUCUUCCUUAGCAUUUCAAAGCUGUACUCUGUCAUCUCCUUCACCUGCUCAUCAGGCACCUGCGCAUACAGCCCAACCCCAUGCUACUGUGAUGUCUGAUCAAACCAAAUGACACCGUUGGGAGGCAAAGAGCAGUGAAAAACCCAGGCAGACUGGAGUCAGACAAGGUUACCGCUCUACCAGUCUAAUCAGUCCUAACCUGUGUCAGAUAAUGAGACCAGAAGCAGAAGAACCUCGGGUCCAGUACCAGACUGAUACAGAACACCAUACACACGUGUGAUGAAGUGGAGCCAUUGGGCAAGAAAGACAGAGGAAGAGAAGAGGAGAGAAGGACAGUCGAUAGGCUACAGGCCUUUUUUAUUCAAACUGCCAUAAGGCACUGAGAUGAACAUGCAACAUUUUGCCACACGCUGCAUUCUGUCAAAAAUGGGACAGUAUGAAAACCAAAAGUGGCAAAAUCCAUGGAGUCACAUGAGGGGAUUAGAGGUGAAGAACUUGAUGAGCGUUUAUGACAGAGAGAGAGUCAACUUACCAACCACCCGCAGGCAUUAACCAACUGAGACCCAGACUGUUCCAUCACAGCACUACCAUACAGCACUUUCUCAGUUCCGCACUUGUAUUGGGUUAUUGGCUACAUCCUUUUUUAUUUCUGUCAACCAAUCAGUGGACUAAGGAAAUCUGUGAUUGGUUGAAUCAGAGCAGUGGGAUGAGUUGCACAGAAUUGGGAACUGCAGGAGUGUCCAAUGGAAUCACCUGGGAAAUACCAGUGUAAUGGAAUGGACGUGACGUGUAUCUGUGGUGAAAGGGUCCUCCUGAGCGAGUAGUGGGUUAAUUGUGCUUGGGUAGUUGAUUGUGAGAGAGGGAUGGUAGAAAGAUGAGUGACGGAGACGGAGACAAAUGGAAAGAGUUUACAGGGAGUGCUCCAUGUGAGGAAAAGGACUGUUUGCUCUAGACUGACCCACCUCCUGUAGGAGUGAUACAUUUUGUUCACAGCCGACUGACUGAAAAACAAAACAACAAUUGUUUUUUUUCUUUAUGCAGUAGAAACACACCAGUUUGUCUCCCUCAGCUGUGGCUGUGCCAACACCCUCUCCACUCCUCCUCACCCCCCACACCCAACAACUCUGACUGAGGGACACCACCAUGCUGUGAGAAUCCGCACUCUUUGCAACGUGGGGAUACACAAUGUCUUUUAAUGCGUUAAAGAGCGAAGACAGACCCUCCUCCUUUUUUGUCGACCUGGUUGUUAUAGUUUGUGAUGACUUUGCCACAACUGACUUUCUUUGCAAUGGUUGUUUUUAUAAUCAUGUGCCCUGGACCACAGAAAGGUCGUAUUUUCAUCACUUUAUUUGGAAUGACGCAAUAAUCCUCCACUAGCAGAAUAACAGCUGAACUAACCAGUGAUCAUGAAAAAAAAAUGAAACAGAUAUUUUUUUCAUCUGGUCAGCUGUGAAGCAGAGAUUAUGUCAUAAAUCCUCUGAAACAUUCAUAGUAUGGCACUAUUUUGAUGAUAAGUGGGCUAAAACAUCAUAGGCUUAUCAGAGGAGAUGGCGUCCUCAGUCUUACAUAAUAUAAUGACAGUCAGCAUGGGCCAUUUAUAUGACAGCUGCUGGCUGACAGCUGACAGCUUUACCUUAACUAAUAUAAUCUGUUAAUUCUGUUUAUGUUUAUAUUAACCAUUAUAACAAUCUUUUUCCAUUUUCUACUGUCCAGGUCAACUCAAAUGACUUUCCGCAGUAAGUUUUCUGUUUCCUUUAAAGUUAAUGCUAAUUGUCAUCACCAGUUACCGCUAAUGGUCAUCACCAGCCAGUCCCCCCUCGGAAGUACAGUACCACCCCAACUAUCUGCGUGCAUCCUUGGAAUGCCAGACACAAUUAAGUUCCCAGUGAAGGGUAGUACUCACUUGCCAU